AAUCACGGUGAUGGUAACCAGGACUCCCUGACCUGUACAGGCCUCUGCUAUGGGGGUGAUGUCCAGUCCUAGUGUCUGAGUGAUU
ensembl:snoRNA predicted gene, 23187